rnacentral:rRNA from 1 species
CCUACGGGGGGCAGCAGUGGGGAAUAUUGCACAAUGGGGGAAACCCUGAUGCAGCGACGCCGCGUGAAGGAUGAAGUAUUUCGGUAUGUAAACUUCUAUCAGCAGGGAAGAAAAUGACGGUACCUGAGUAAGAAGCCCCGGCUAACUACGUGCCAGCAGCCGCGGUAAUACGUAGGGGGCAAGCGUUAUCCGGAUUUACUGGGUGUAACGGGAGCGUAGACGGUGCGCCAAGUCUGGAGUGAAAUGCCGCAGCUUAACUGCGGAACUGCUUUGGAAACUGGCGAACUAGAGUGCGGGAGGGGUAAGCGGAAUUCCUAGUGUAGCGGUGAAAUGCGUAGAUAUUAGGAGGAACACCGGUGGCGAAGGCGGCUUACUGGACCGUAACUGACGUUGAGGCUCGAAAGCGUGGGGAGCAAACAGGAUUAGAUACCCUUGUAGUC